GAAAAGCAUAAUAGAGAAGCUGGUUAAAUGCCAGCACGGUCCCGCCACUGUAUGGUCGAGCGAGUCUAAAUUAAGUCACUGGGAAACUGGGAAGGCUAGAUGAGCGAUGACGCCGAGUCAGGAGAACUGCCUAUUCAA
rnacentral:ncRNA from 2 species